rnacentral:rRNA from 1 species
AUGCCACCCAACUUGUUUAGGGUUCAACUGGUUCGGGUGCUGCCAGGCUGCGACGACUUGUUACCUCCGAUUCGACCCGUCGGGGCCGACGAUGAUGACGUGAUGACCCUCAGCGCCUGCCUGAGCUGGCCCCUGCUUUGGCCGAAGAGCCAGAUUCGUUUGGGGGCGGGGGACACCACCCCAAAGACAACACCGCCAGUCGUGCCGGCGCCAAGUCGGCCCCAUGGCAAGACCGCCGUAACGGUGCCAGACAUCCCUAUGCCACUGGAUCCAAACAUGCAUAUGGCACAGGAUCAGAACGACGACGACGACGACGAUGAUACAUUUGGCAACGUCGAUCAGUACUUUGCCGAGCAUGGGUACGAUGGCGACUUCAUGGGGCCUCCUUCUCAAGAACCAAACCCAACAAAAGACGUGUGCGAUCUAGCUCGUACCGCGGAGAAGCCAAGUUGCAACAGGCGCCGUCUGGCGUUCAGCUCUCAGGAGACGCCUCCAGCUGCCGACUUCACCGAGCCUCAGAUAGGCGAGGUGCAAAAUAUUAUCAGCCCCAACACACUCAAGAAGGCGGUCUGUGAGCAGAACUCGGUCCCAUUACAGGAGAAGAAGAAGGCACGCAAAAGAAAGACUAAGAAGGGUGCGAGCCAGCCGGCACCGAGUACGAUCCGUGCUCAGGAUGGGCCACCUUCACCGCAGGAUAUCUCGAGGAGGGUGCAUGUGGCGGGUAGGGCGAUGCUACCACCAAAUAUGCUCAAUGCUGCAACCGGUGCUAUGCGGAGUCUGCACGACAGUGUUCUUUCUUUGGAGAAGCGGCGUCUCAAAGAGAAGGAUGUGGCAUACCCGGUUUUCGUGGCCAAGGUGCCAGAGGGCAAGGGCUUUGUGGAUGGCGACAUCGGGGGUACGAUCGUCCUGCGGUUUGAUGACAUCUUUGCUAUGUUUAACCUUCAUCCGCUGCACUACACCUUCGUUCGGCUAUUUUCGCUGAGUAUGGAGAUGCGGAUCAUUCGCGACAAGACCCCGGACAUCGUGAUAGUCGACCCCUUCUACAUGCGUGCCAAGAUCUUGGGCAGCGCUGGGGACCGGCAAGUCGCGAGUUCUUACCUCGAAGGCGUCAUUCUGGCAAACCAAGAUAAGGAUAACUUCCUCGUGCCUUACUUUCCCGAUGACACACGUUGCACGCUCAUCCUCCUAAGCCCCAAAUAUUCCAUGGCCACGUAUUUCGACCCGGACCGUCAGUCGAACGUAGACUACACAAAUGUCGAGAAGGUUCUUGAUGAUGUUCUCCCCGGCUACGCCCAAUCUGGAGGCACCUUCACCAGGCCUAUUCGUAAGUACGGCAAGCACGUGUUCUCCCACAAUACGACGUUCUGCUGCGUCAAGCAGCCGCCUGGCGGUCAGAAGGGUGCCUACUACGCCAUCCAUCACAUGCGGGCGAUCGUACGGGACCAUCAUCAACUUCUGCUACCGAGUAAACUCCAAGAUUGGGCCGCGAGCGUGUCGGCAAUCCAGGACGCGGACCUCCAACAAGAAUUCUUUCGCAUCCAGUCGGAGUUUGCGGAAAUCAUCCAUCAAGAUGUCCUUCGUACCUCGGGGCAGUUCUACCUCAGAAAUCAACCGUCCAACAGUGACAUCGACACAAUGUUACAAAUGCAGGAUGACAACGCCCGUUCUUUCAUGACUCCCACGAUAGACGGCGGCUUCAUCCACGCUCCGGUCCCUUGA